CUCAACGGAUAAAAGUUACUCUAGGGAUAACAGGCUGAUCUCCCCCAAGAGUUCACAUCGACGGGGAGGUUUGGCACCUCGAUGUCGGCUCAUCACAUCCUGGGGCUGAAGUCGGUCCCAAGGGUAUGGCUGUUCGCCAUUUAAAGUGGUACGCGAGCUGGGUUUAGAACGUCGUGAGACAGUUCGGUCUCUAUCUAUUGUGGGCGUUUAAAGUUUGAGAGGAGCUGAUUCUAGUACGAGAGGACCGGAUCGGACGAACCUCUGGUGUACCGGUUGUGGUGCCAGCUGCACCGCCGGGUAGCUACGUUCGGAAGUGAUAAGCGCUGAAAGCAUCUAAGCGCGAAGCACGCCUCAAGAUAAGACUUUGCAGGGCCGUUGUAGAUGACAACGUUGAUAGGCUGUAGGUGGAAG
rnacentral:rRNA from 1 species